AUUCAUUAAUGUGUAAAAGACAAUAUUGCCCUUAACUUAUCUUCAACUCAUUUCUCUCUCUCUCUCGUGAAUCUCCGUCCGUCGUCUAUCGUCUCUGUUCAGAUCCGCUGUUUUCCGUUCAGAUCCGCCGUCUCCGUUCAGAUUCGCCGUCUCUGUCCUCCAGAUCCACCGUCUCUGUCCUGAACCGACGUCUUCGUCCAGAUUCGUUGUCUUCGUCCAGAUCCACGAAGCAAUCGAGAUCGAGACUCAAAACUUCAAAUGUUGAAUCCUCAGCAAGAAUCACAACCUGUAAGUAUUUUUUUCGGAUUUUGUUAUUUUGAUCUAAGAGAAAGAGUUAUCUAUUAAUAGUCUGAUCUAAGAGAAAGAUUUCUAAUAGUGAACAUUGAGUUUUUGAAAAUUUAUAACUCUUUAUAAAUCGAAGUUAUUUAGUAAUGUAAUUGACAUGUUCAGUUCCCGACACUCAUAAAAGAAGCAUAUGUUCAAGCUUAUAUGAGAGCCACAACUCUGCCAUCACACAUUUUCUUUGAUCUACAAUGUUAAUCAUCAAAUUCAUCAUUGUCUCUUGUUUUUUUUUCUAAAGUCUUAUUGACCAACCAUUGACAUUUUUUAGUUUCUUCUUGUGUCUUAGAUUGCAGAGUCUGUUUCUUUUAGCAGCGAUAAAAAGUAUGAUAUAACGCAAGUGAAGGCUCCACCUCAGCUGCAGAAAACGAUGUGUUAAGUAACUCAAUCAACUAAAAGACAAUUUAGAAAGGCUUAUAAGACAGUUUAUAAAGUUUGUUAAAUAAUUUAUAAGGUUUAUAAAUUCUGCACAAUUUUGAAGUUAACUACGAGGUAUUGUGAUACUUCAACAGAGCUACCAGACAAGCCAAAACUGAUCAUCCAACGUUCAAAUAUGAAUUAUGUUGAAAAUGAUUUUUUGUAUUUUAGGUAAGGAGGAAUUUAGUGAAAUUGAGAAUUCACACCUUGCGGAAGUGUUGUAGAACUAGCUAGAAAGAAUAACAUUCAAUUUUCAGGAGAACCUUAUGCAAAUAAGAUUAUUGAUGAAUGGGGGUAGAUCUAUGGUUCACUUUCUCAUAUCAACCAAUGGGGUUAGAUCUAUGAUUAUUGAUGAAUGUAAAUAAUUUAUAAAAGUUUAUAAAAAACGUUAUGAAAGCAUACAUUCAAUUUAUAAGGGUAUUAUAUGAGUUCCAUAGGUUUAUAAAUCAACUAAAAGAGUUUAUAACCAUUUAGAAAGCCUUAUAAAAUAAUUUAUAAUGGUUUGUAUAAUAAUUUAUAAGGGUUUCUAAGGGUACGUAAAUAAUGGUUUAUAAGGGUAUGUAAAUAAUAUAUACGGGUUUAUAAAAAUAAUUUAUUAAGUUUAUACACCAUUAUAAAAUAUUAUAAAAUGAUUUAUAAGGGAAUUUAAAAUUUCUGAAGCGGUGGAGUCUUGAUUGCUGUCCACAUGUACCUCAGAAUCUGCCACGUAUCAUCAUCUCCUUACAAAUCCUUAUAAGAAUAUGUAAAAUUAUUUGUAAGAGUUUAUAAACCAUUAAUAAAUGCAUAUAAAACAAGUUAUAAAAUCUAUAAACCAUUUAUAAAUGUUUAUAAGAAAGUUAUGAAAGUUUAUAAAUAAUUUAUAAGGGGUAUGUAUACUAUUAAUAAGAGUUUAUUAAAACUUUAUGAAAGAUUAUAUUCAAUUUAUAAGGGGUAUUAUAAGAGUUGUAUAGGUUUAUAAAUCAACUAAAAGAGUCUAUAACCAUUUAGAAAGCCUUAUAAAAUAAUUUAUAAUAGUUUGUAUAAUAAUGUAUACGGGUUUAUAAAAAUAAUUUAUAAAGUUUAUACACCAUUAUAAAGGAUUAUAAUAAAACAAUUUAUAAGGAUGUGUAAAAUUUCUGAAGCGGUGGAGCCGUGCUUGCUGUCCACAUGUGCCUUAGAAUCUGUCACGUAUCAUUUUACAAAGCCUUAUAAGGGUAUGUAAAAUUAUUUGUAAGAGUAUAUAAACCAUUAAUAAAGACAUAUAAAACAAGUUAUAAGAUCUAUAAAUCAUUUAUAAAUGUUUAUAAGAAAGUUAUGAAAGUUUAUAAAUAAUUUAUAAGAGGUAUGUAUACUAUUAAUAAGGGUUUAUAAAAACUUUAUGAAAGCCUUAUAAAACAAUUUAUAAUGGUUUGUAUAAUAAUAUAUAAGGGUUUACAAGAGUAUGUAAAUAUUUUAUAGGGGUUUAUAAAAAUAAUUUAUAAAGUUUAUACACCAUUAUUAAGGAUUAUAAAAUAAUUUAUAAAAGUAUGUAAAAUUUCUGAAGCGGUGGAGUCUUGCUUGCUGUUCUCAUGUGCCUCACAAUCUGCCACGUAUCAUCAUCUCUUUACAAAAGUAUAUAACUAUUUAUACAGGUUUAUAAAACUAUUUAAAAGGGUGUAUUAAACUAUUUACAAGAACAUAUAAGCUAUUUAUAAGUCUAUUGUUAAAAGUACAACUCGACGAUUUAUAAGUUUUUAUUAAGAAGUUUUUAAACAAGAGUUGAUUGUAUAUGUCUAUACAAAACACAUAAAUGUUUGAACUUGAGAAGUCUUGUGAGGAAUGCUAGGCAGAAUGAGUGUAAGAAACUCAAAGUGAUUUAUAAGCGUUUAUAAAUUUAUUUACAAUGGCUUAUAAGGUAAUUUUUCUAAAAUCCCUCCAAAAGACAAUCAACACAAAAAAGACAUAUCUGGUGAAAGAGCCACGUCCUUCAACAAGGGAUAUAUUGCUUUAACAUAGUCUGAGAACAUCAAGGCUUCUCCAUAUCUCACUCUUCUAUAAAAGAAACAAUUGAAACACAACUCACUUACAUGUCCAACUAAUAUCUUCAACUAUGCAACUACUAAAAGAGAGAUACAAUUGUUUUAGUAUAAGAGAUGUCUAAAGAAGAUGAGAGAGAAGAAUGUACUAAGAAGCCAACUCUGCAACUUUUAUAAAGCGUUAUAAAUACGUAAUUCUUUGAUAGCACAAACCACAUUCUUCUUCAGAGUCUCUCUUGCCUCUUCAAACAGCUCACCAACCUCGUAAAUUUUCAAAAUCUGAACAAAAGCCAGUCACAUAUUAUUUCUACGCAUCAGCAUUCACUUCCAAAAAUAAGAUUCAAAAAUAGUAUGCUUUCGUAACUCAACAAACUCAUCCUUCAUCUCCACUGCUUCUGUAGAUAUUAUACACAAAACAAGACAUAAAAAAUAAAUCUCACAAAGUAUAAAUAGAACGUUACACUACCAAAACACCAACGUUCCACCUCAUAUACUGCACAUACUAAAACAUUGCUAGUCAAACUACAAAUA